rnacentral:rRNA from 1 species
UGCCAGCCGCCGCGGUAAUACGAAGGGAGCUAGCGUUGUUCGGAAUUACUGGGCGUAAAGGGCGUGUAGGCGGACUAUCAAGUUAGGGGUGAAAUCCCGAGGCUCAACCUCGGAACUGCCCUUAAUACUGAUAGUCUAGAGUCUGUGAGGGGAUAGUGGAAUACUUAGUGUAGAGGUGAAAUUCGUAGAUAUUAGGUGGAACACCAGUGGCGAAGGCGACUAUCUGGCACAGUACUGACGCUGAGGCGCGAAAGCGUGGGGAGCAAACAGGAUUAGAUA